rnacentral:rRNA from 1 species
CCCUUAGAUGUUCUGGGCCGCACGCGUGCUACACUGAGUGGAUCAGCGGGUCAGGUUGCGCGAAAGUGUUUCCUAAUCUUUAAAUCCGCUCGUGAUGGGGAUUGACGGUUGCAAUUUUCCGUCAUGAACGAGGAAUACCUUGUAAGCGCGGGUCAUCAUCCCGCGCUGAAUACGUCCUUGCCCUUUGUACACACCGCCCGUCGCUCCUACCGAUUGAGUGGUCCGGUGAGGCUUUGGGAUCUGAGCGGAAAGAGCGUUUCGCUGUUUCUGCCCGGAAAACUCAGUCGAACCUUAUCAUUUAGAGGAAGGAGAAGUCGUAACA